CCUACGGGAGGCAGCAGUGGGGAAUAUUGGACAAUGGGGGCAACCCUGAUCCAGCCAUGCCGCGUGUGUGAAGAAGGCCUUAUGGUUGUAAAGCACUUUAAGCGAGGAGGAGGCUACUGAGACUAAUACUCUUGGAUAGUGGACGUUACUCGCAGAAUAAGCACCGGCUAACUCUGUGCCAGCAGCCGCGGUAAU
rnacentral:rRNA from 1 species